UCCCUACGGGACGCAGCAGCGGGGAAUAUUGGGCAAUGGGCGCGAGCCUUACCCAGCAAUACCGCGUGAGUGAAGAAGGUCUUCGGAUUGUAAAGCUCUUUGAUCAGGGACGAACAGAUGACGGUACCUGAAGAACAAGCCCCGGCUAACUACGUGCCAGCAGCCGCGGUAAAACGUAGGGGGCGAGCGUUGUCCGGAAUGACUGGGCGUAAAGGGUGCGUAGGCGGCAUAAUAAGACAGAAGUGAAAUACCCAGAGCUUAACUCGGGUGCUGCUUCUAAGACUGCUGAGCUUGAGUGCGGGAGG
rnacentral:rRNA from 1 species